AGACUCAGCUGCUCUCCCCGGGAGCUGGGGAGCCGGGGGCGGGCAGCCGCGUCUGUCCUGCCCCUCCUCGCCCCCUCCCCCGCAGCCUGAGGAGGGCGUUAAGCAAGGGGCUUCGGAGAAAUUAGAACCAGCGUUCUAAAUUAAGGGGAGCAGAUGUCCUUGUUUUGCUCGCGAGGCCUGGGUGGCCUGCUGUUCAGACAGAAAUCGUUGAGGCGCUGACCUUCCGGGACUGCUGUCAAUCUCCGCGUGCAGAUGGCCAGCCCGGAGCCUCGCCGCUCCCCUGCAUUGGAAAUGCGGCAGCCGGGGGUGCCGGCAGCUUGAGAGAAAAGUCUGCGUGGAGGGGGGGUGGGGGGGAUGAGGGGAGGCCCGGGGAGACAGAGGGCAGGAGAAAAAGGCCGGCCCCGCUCACAAUGGAGCCCCUGUGGCGGCCCCUCCGAGACAAUGCGGUCCCCCGGGACCCGCGGUGGGUUGCGCCAGGCCAGUCCGCGCUCCAGCUGCCUCUUCAGAACAAGGCAGUGCAAAUGUGCCCACUUGAUUCUAAAUCCUCUUAGGCGCUGUCCAUGUGAACAAGGAAAGGGGUGGCCCUACGAUCCUUUACAAUCGGAGGCCUGGGGAGGCCUGGGAGCCCUGGAGCUCCGGAAAAUGUCUGCACCACGCAUGCAAAUGGGUCAUUUCGCUUGGAGAGAGGCAUCUGGCGACAUCGGCAGAAAGGCUCUCUGCCCGGUAGACGGUGAACAAAACCCACAAAACCAGCCAGCCAACAGCGUGCACUAAACACCCCUCUCUGGCCCUUCAAUGCCACCCGGAGUCCUGAAACAUUUUCAGGUUGUUUCCCCUGGAGAGACGUCCCAUGAAAUGUUCAGAAAAGCCAGCUGAGCUGUGCAAAGUCAUUAGUCACCCAGGUCAUUUAUGCCACACUCAGUUAUGAAGCCUAGGAAAGAAGAAAAAAGACCUACUAUGUGCUAGUUCAUGUGCUUGCAAUGUAUCCUCACAGAGACCCUCUGAGUGGGUUCUAUGGUUUUUCCCCUUUUAUAGGCUCAAAGGUUAAUUCAUCCAUUCAAGGCCACACAGCUAAUAGCGUAUCCUGUGGCAUACAGUUUUUAUUCAAGGCUGGCUUGUAUAUAUCAUAUUUAUACAGCGACAAGAACUUUUGAAAUACAAGUUAAGAACUUUAAGGAGAAAAAAACGUUCUUAUUGGAAGCAAAUGAAACAGAAAUUCCAAGUUAAAGCCAAAAGUCAUCCUGAACAUGCUUUUAUUCCAAUGGUAUUACUUAACAGCAAAGUGUUAUAUUACCCUUGAAUUUCCUGCCUAAGCUAAGGGUAGGCCAGGCCCUUGAUGCUGCUUAAAUUGUUCCAUGUAUCCCAACUAUAUCACAAGCAAUGCCAUCACACUUGACUUGUGCCUGAUCUCCAACUUGUCAGUUAGUCAAGAAGGAGGAAAGAAUCUGUUUCCCGUGCACACACUGUAAUUUUUUUUUCCAGUGUUGCUAAGCCUGCCAGAACAAAAGUAAAACCACAAAACAAGAUUUAGAUCAGUGUCUUGAUCACCCUGUUGCUAUUUUACAGUUUUAGGAGGGUUGGACAUCAAACACUUGAAACUGUCAUCUACAUAUUCCUUCUCAGAAUAAGGAAGCACUGGCAUGUACCCCUGCUAAAUUAUUCUCUACCCCCAAAUGUUGGAAACUUUCUCUCCAGGAAAAUGCUCUACAGAAGGCACGUUGAAUUAAUGGAGUUAGUUCUGAGAAAGGUUCUUACUGUCUAAGAUGAACUGUCAUAUGCUGACUUCCGGCCAGGUGGACUCGACGCCUUAGCAGGAAUGUUGCUUAGACAUUUAGCUUUUUCUAAUUUGUUUGCUAUUAUAAACAGUGCUUGAGAAACCUAAAGUACACCCCCACCUAAAAUUACUAUCACGUCGAUUUGUUUAUCUUCUUUAUAAUUGCUUAUCCCAACUGAAUGUUUCAUAGCUUGCAUGCUUGUUUAUGUUCUACUUUCUUUCUCGGGAUCAUGACUUGGGCAUGACACAAGUUACCUCUUCUAUCUUGUUUAUUACCACGUAGUAAGGACUCAGGAAAUAUUUUUGAAUGAAUGAGUAUAUCUUUCAUGCACAUGUAUUUUACUGUUGUACAAUUAUCUUCUUAAGAUAAAUCUUUUGAGUAGUCAAAUUCAUAGACACAGAAAGUAGGAUGGUGGUUGACAGGGGCUAGGGUGGUGGGGGGAGUGAGAAAUUAGUGUUUGAUUAUUUACUUUUAUUUUAUUACUAUUAUUACUUUUGAGAGAGGGUCUCACUGUUGUCCAAGCUGGAAUACAAUGGCGUGAUCAUGGUUUACUGCAACCUCAAACUCCUGGACUCAAGCAGUCCUCCUGCCUCAGCCUCCCAAGUAGCUGGAACUAUAGAUGCACAUCACCACACCCAGCUAAUUUUUUUUAAAUUAUUUUUUGUAGAGACAGGUCUCACUAUGUUGCCCAGGCUGGUCUCAAGGGAUCCCCUGCCUUUGCCUCCCAAAGUACUGGGAUCACAGGCAUGAACCACUGCACCUGGCUGAGAGUUAGUGUUUAAUAGGUGCAAAGCUUCAGUUGGGGAAGAUUAAAAAAAAGUUCUGGAGAUGGACGGUGGUGAUGAUUGCACAACGUGAAUCUACUUCAUGCCACUGGGCUGCACACUUACAAAUGGUUACAAUGUUAGUUGCCUCACAGCCUGAACAAGUAAAAUGGAAGCUGUAAUUAACCUUAAAAAUAUAUAUGUGUCUGAGAUAUAAUUGUAUAUAAGUAUAUGUAUACAGACAUGUAAACUAUUUGUUAAAAAAGAAACUAGAACAAAAAUAUUUUACAUUUACCUGGAAAAUGGUUAAAAUGGUAAAUGUUAUAGUAUGUAUAUUUUACUACAAUAAAAAUGAAUAAAUUUGUUGAAUUGCCAUUCUUGGGCUAAGGGUAAGUGUGCAUAUUUUAAGCUGUGGUAUAUAUUUUGAGACUGCCCUUCAGAAGAAUGAUGCCAAUUUACAUAAAAAACAACUAUAAGGGCAUGAGAAUACCCAUUUCAAUGGUAGGUUUUCUCAGUCUCUUUAUUCUUUGUAUUUGAUAGGCAAAGACAAAGACACACACACAGACACAUACACACACACUUUACUGUUUUAUUAUUUUAUGUGUGAAUAUUAAUAUAGUUGAAACUUAAGAUUGAAUAUUGUUUUAUAUGUUUGGCAUUUCUUCUUUUAUAAGCAGGCUACAUGUAUCUUUUCCCAUUUUUAUGGGGCUCUUUACUUCCUUUUAUUGAUUUGUAGGAGCUCUGUGUAUAGUAAAGGUAUUAAUUCGGUCCAUCAUAUCAUUUGCAAAUAAUUUUUCUCCAGUUCUUUAUUUCUGCGUAAAUGUCAUUUGUGAUCUUUUGCCAUAGGAAAUUUAAAAUUAUAUAUUGUAUCAAGAUAAUCUUUGGGUAAGAAAAUUCCUCGUUCCAAGAUUAUGAAAGUAUUCAUCUGUGUUUUCACCGAGUACAUUUCUGGCUUUGUUUGAUGCAUCUGUAUGUCGAUAAUAAGGAAUCAGGAUUGGAUGCUCCACGAAGCCCUCACCAGAACAGAUGCUGGCACCAUGCUUCCUGUACAGCCCACAAACUGCAAGCCAAAUAAACUUCUUUUCCUUGUAAAUUACCCAGCUUCAGUAUUCCUUUAUAGCAAUGCAAACAGACUAGUACAAUUCCCACGCCAACUCUAGACAGGAGCAUCUUUGCUGUUCUUCAUCCUGG
rnacentral:lncRNA from 1 species